CAGCAGCCGCGGGAAAACGUAGGGUGCGAGCGUUAAUCGGAAUUACUGGGCGUAAAGCGUGCGUAGGCGGUGAGUUAAGUCUGCUGUGAAAUCCCCGGGCUCAACCUGGGAAUGGCAGUGGAUACUGGCUCGCUAGAGUGUGUCAGAGGAUGGUGGAAUUCCCGGUGUAGCGGUGAAAUGCGUAGAGAUCGGGAGGAACAUCAGUGGCGAAGGCGGCCAUCUGGGACAACACUGACGCUGAGGCACGAAAGCGUGGGGAGCAAACAGGAUUAGAUACCCCAGUAGUCCCUGUCUCUUAUAC
rnacentral:rRNA from 1 species